CGGCAAUGGGCGAAAGCCUGACCGAGCGACGCCGCGUGCGGGAUGAAGGCCUUCGGGUUGUAAACCGCUGUCAGAGGGGAUGAAAUGCUGGGGGCACUCCCCCAGUUUGACAAAUCCUCAGAGGAAGUACGGGCUAAGUUCGUGCCAGCAGCCGCGGUAACACGGAACCGUACGAACGUUAUUCGGAAUUACUGGGCUUAAAGGGUGCGUAGGCGGUCCUCCGAAGUUGGGUGUGAAAGCCCC
rnacentral:rRNA from 1 species